GAUGAACGCUGGCGGCGUGCCUAAUACAUGCAAGUCGAGCGAACGGACGAGAAGCUUGCUUCUCUGAUGUUAGCGGCGGACGGGUGAGUAACACGUGGAUAACCUACCUAUAAGACUGGGAUAACUUCGGGAAACCGGAGCUAAUACCGGAUAAUAUUUUGAACCGCAUGGUUCAAAAGUGAAAGACGGUCUUGCUGUCACUUAUAGAUGGAUCCGCGCUGCAUUAGCUAGUUGGUAAGGUAACGGCUUACCAAGGCAACGAUGCAUAGCCGACCUGAGAGGGUGAUCGGCCACACUGGAACUGAGACACGGUCCAGACUCCUACGGGAGGCAGCAGUAGGGAAUCUUCCGCAAUGGGCGAAGGCCUGACGGAGCAACGCCGCGUGAGUGAUGAAGGUCUUCGGAUCGUAAAACUCUGUUAUUAGGGAAGAACAUAUGUGUAAGCAACUGUGCACAUCUUGACGGUACCUAAUCAGAAAGCCACGGCUAACUACGUG
rnacentral:rRNA from 1 species